UACGGGGGGGGCAAGCGUUGUUCGGAAUUACUGGGCGUAAAGGGCGCGUAGGCGGCCAGCACAAGUCAGUUGUGAAAUCUCCGAGCUUAACUCGGAACGGUCAACUGAUACUGUGCGGCUAGAGUGCGGAAGGGGCAACUGGAAUUCUUGGUGUAGCGGUGAAAUGCGUAGAUAUCAAGAGGAACACCUGCGGCGAAGGCGGGUUGCUGGGCCGACACUGACGCUGAGGCGCGAAAGCCAGGGGAGCGAACGGG
rnacentral:rRNA from 1 species